AAGCUAUCUUCGGAUGGUGGAGACCGGCAGACGGGUGAGUAACACGUGGGAACAUACCGAGUAGUGGGGGAUAACAGUUGGAAACGACUGCUAAUACCGCAUACGCCCUUCGGGGGAAAGAUUUAUCGCUAUUCGAUUGGCCCGCGUUAGAUUAGCUAGUUGGUAAGGUAACGGCUUACCAAGGCGACGAUCUAUAGCUGGUUUGAGAGGAUGAUCAGCCACACUGGGACUGAGACACGGCCCAGACUCCUACGGGAGGCAGCAGUGGGGAAUAUUGCGCAAUGGAGGAAACUCUGACGCAGCCAUGCCGCGUGAGUGAAGAAGGCCUUAGGGUUGUAAAGCUCUUUCAGACGUGAUGAUGAUGACAGUAGCGUCAAAAGAAGUUCCGGCUAACUUCGUGCCAGCAGCCGCGGUAAUACGAAGGGAACUAGCGUUGUUCGGAUUUACUGGGCGUAAAGAGCAUGUAGGCGGAUUGGACAGUUGAGGGUGAAAUCCCAGAGCUCAACUCUGGAACGGCCUUCAAUACUUCCAGUCUAGAGUCCGUAAGGGGGUGGUGGAAUUCCGAGUGUAGAGGUGAAAUUCGUAGAUAUUCGGAGGAACACCAGUGGC
rnacentral:rRNA from 1 species